UACGUAGGGUGCGAGCGUUGUCCGGAAUUAUUGGGCGUAAAGGGCUCGUAGGCGGUUUGUCGCGUCGGGAGUGAAAACACCGGGCUUAACCUGGGAAUGGCAGUGGAAACUAGAGAACUUGAAUCUGGCAGAGGGGGGUGGAAUGCCACGUGUAGCAGUGAAAUGCGUAGAUAUGUGGCGGAACACCGAUGGCGAAGGCAGCCCCCUGGGCUGAGAUUGACGCUCAGGCACGAAAGCGUGGGGAGCAAACAGG
rnacentral:rRNA from 1 species